CGCGACCCCGGUCAGGCGGGCACCCCACUGAGUUUAAGCAUAUCAAUAAGCGGAGAAAAGAAACUUACCAGGAUUCCCCUAGUAACGGCGAGCGAACCGGGAAGAGCCCCAGCUUGAGAAUCGGGCGCCCUCGCGCCCCGAAUUGUAGUCUGGAGAAGCGUCCUCAGCGGUCGGACCGGGCCCAAAGUCCCUGGAAGGGGGCGCCGGAGAGGGUGAGAGCCCCGUCGUGCACCCGGACCCUGUCGCACCAACGAGGCCUGUCUGCGAGUCGGGUUGUUUGGAAUGCAGCCCAAUGCGGGCGUAAAUUCCGUCGCAAUGGGGGGCUAAAUACGUGCGAGAGACCGAUAAAGCGAACAGUACCCGUAAAGGGAAAGAUGAAAAGGACUUUGAAGAGCGCAAACGAGUGCUUGAAAUUGUCGCGAGGGAAGCGGAUGGGGGCCGGCGAUGGCGCCCCGGUCGAUGUGGAACGGCGACAAAGCGGUCCGCCGAUCGCAGACUCGGGGCGCGACCGACGCGGAUCGCGCGGCGGCCCCAAGCCCGGGCAACUAGAAACGCCCGCGAGACGCCGUCGCACGCGAUCGUGGAACAAUCAGCAGCGCGCCGUCACGGCGUGCCCCCGGCACACGCGGCGCGCUCCUGGCGUCGGCCAAAAAGCGGGCCCCUCCCCAUUCGGCCCGUCUUGAAACACGGACCACAGGAGUCUGACAACAUGUGUGCGAGUCCAACGGGCGAGUAAACCCCGUAAGGCGCAAGGAAGCUGACUGGCGGGAUCCACUCGAGGGUUUGCACCGCCGACCGACCGCUCGAUCUCUGAGAAAGGGUUCGAGUGAGAGCAUAGCCUGUCGGCGAACCCGAAAGAUGGUGAAAUCUAUGCCUGAGCGGGCGAAGCCCAGAAGGAAACUCUGGUGGAGGCCCGCAGCGAUACUAGUGAACGUGCAAAUCGUUCGUCUGACUUGGGUAUAAGGGGCGAAAAGACAAAUCGAAACGUCUGUAGCUGGUUCCCUCCGAAGUUUCCCUCAAGGAUAGCUGGAGCUCGGGACGAGUUUCUAUCGGGUAAAGCCAAUGAUUAGAGGCCCAAUCGGGGGCGCUCAAACGCCCCUCGGACCUAUUCUUCAAACUUUAAAUAGGUAGGAGGGCGGCUGCUCUCGCUGAGCCGGCGCACGGAAUCGAGAGCUCCAAGUGGGCCAUUUUUGGUCAAGCAGAACCUGGCGAUGCGGGAUGAAACCGCGGAACCGCGUUUACGGUGCCCACCUCGCGCUAUACCCGAACCCACAUAAGGGUGUUGCCGAUUAAGAACAGCAGGAACGGUGGUCAUCGAAAAGGUCCGAAAUCCGCUAGAGUGUGUAACAACUCACCCUGCCGAAAUCACUAGCCCGAAAAUGGAUGGCGCUUAAGCGCGCGACCUAUACCGCCGUCGGGGCCAAAGCCAGGCCCCGUAUGAGUAGGGGGCGGGCGGCCGGCCAGCUGCAAAAAACCGGGGCGCGAGCCCCCGGGCGGAGCGGCGUCGGUGCAGAUCUUGGUGGUAGUAGCAAAUAUUCAAAUGAGAACUUUGAAGAGCCGAAGAGGGAAAGGUUCCAUGUGAAACGGCACUUGCACAUGGGUAGUCGAUCCCUAAAAGAGACCGGGGGAAGCCGUCCGACAAGCGGCGUCCGCGCGCGAGCUUCGAAAGGGAAUCGGGUUAAAAUUCCCGAACCGGACGCGCGGCUGACGGGCAACGUUAAGGAGUCCGGAGACCGUCGGCGGGGGCCCUCGGGAAGAGUUUAUCUUUUCUGUUUAACAGCCCAGCCCACCCUGGAAACAGAGAAACUCCCAAGCUCAAGUCGGAGGUAGGGUCCAGCGGCCGAAGAGCACCGCAAACGUCGCGCGUGUCCGGUGCGCCCCCGGCGGCCCGUGAAGAUCCGGAGACCGAGUGCCUCCCGCGCCCGGGUCGUACUCAUAACCGCAAUCACGGUCUCCAAGGUGAACAGCCCUCUGGCCAAAUGGAACAAUGUAGGCAAGGGAACGUCGGCAAACGGCAUCCUAACCUCGGGAAAAAGGAUUGGCUCCCUGAGGGCUGGGCCCGGGGUCCCAGUCCCGAACGGACCGUCCGGCUGUCGCGGACUGCUCGAGCUGCCCCGCGGCGAAGAGCGGGUCGCCGCGUGCCGGCCGGCGGGACGACUGGGAACGGCCCCUCCGGGGGCCUUACCCCGGGCGUCCGAACAGUCGACUCAGAACUGGUACGGACAAGGGGAAUCCGACUGUUUAAUUAAAACAAAGCAUUGCGAUGGUCCCUGCGGAUGCUCAACACGCAAUGUGAUUCUGCCCAAGCUGCUCUGAAUGUCAAAGUGAAGAAAUUCAACCAAGCGCGGGUAAACCGGCGAGUAACUAUGACUCUCUUAAGGAGCCAAUGCCCUCGUCAAUCUAUUAGUGAACGAGGCGCAUGAAUGGAAUUAACGAGAUUCCACUUGUCCCUUCCUACUCAUCCACGCAAAGCCUACAGCCAAGGGAACGGGCUUGGCGG
rnacentral:rRNA from 1 species